rnacentral:rRNA from 1 species
GACGAACGCUGGCGGCGUGCUUAACACAUGCAAGUCGAACGGAAAGGCCCUGCUUUUGUGGGGUGCUCGAGUGGCGAACGGGUGAGUAACACGUGAGUAACCUGCCCUUGACUUUGGGAUAACUUCAGGAAACUGGGGCUAAUACCGGAUAGGAGCUCCUGCUGCAUGGUGGGGGUUGGAAAGUUUCGGCGGUUGGGGAUGGACUCGCGGCUUAUCAGCUUGUUGGUGGGGUAGUGGCUUACCAAGGCUUUGACGGGUAGCCGGCCUGAGAGGGUGACCGGCCACAUUGGGACUGAGAUACGGCCCAGACUCCUACGGGAGGCAGCAGUGGGGAAUAUCGCACAAUGGGCGGAAGCCUGAUGCAGCAACGCCGCGUGCGGGAUGACGGCCUUCGGGUUGUAAGCCGCUUUCGCCUGUGACGAAGCGUGAGUGACGGUAAUGGGUAAAGAAGCACCGGCUAACUACGUG